AACACUGUUAACCUGCGGUACCUGCGGAGGGAUCAUUAUAGUAUAUGGAAUCUCCAUUCUAUAAACCACUCUGCGUAUCUUGUAACUGUUGCUUCCAUGGGACUUGGUUCCGCCACACCGGCUUCACGGCUGGUGAGCGCCCAUGGAAGGAGAAACAAAACUCUUCUUUGAAAUGUAGUCAGUCUGAACAAGUUUUUAUAAACGUUAAAACUUUUAACAAUGGAUCUCAGAUCGGAAGAG
rnacentral:misc_RNA from 1 species